CCUCUCUCUAUCUCCUCUGCCGUCA
rnacentral:sRNA from 1 species